AAGUGAGGUUGGUUUAGUAUUUAUAUUCACACGCAAAGGGAGCCGAGAUCACAGAAGACCUUCACUCCUUAAAGAGGCAAGACAUCCGAAGAAUUGUUCCGAAUCACUCCAGUGUAGUUGCUUUUCCUACGGCAAGAACUCUCAAAGAUGGCAAGGUUCCAAACGAUGAUGGUGUUCGCCUUUGUCGUCCUGUCGGUUUUCAUAAUUUCCGACACCACAGCACAGAAAGGAGACGACGAUGACUUCCCACCAGGCUACUGCUGGAGACUUAUAGUGGACUGUGACGCUGACCCAGAUCAUGAAUGCUGUGGGGUCGGUUCGAACACACCCAGGCCUAACCCUCCGCAACGUGGAAAAUAGGAAUUAAUCAACGAACGAAAGAGGGCAUUCCAUCGGAUCGCGAGGACCAGCCCAGUGCAGUGAGGCAAAAGGAUGGAUGUCAGCUGAAGAAUUACCGUUUCAUGAAUAACUGAGGAUUGUCGUCACUUCGUACGAAGGAAAAUUAUUGAAAUUAACCAAAUUAACUUUUACCUAAGUUGGGCAAAUAUCUGUUACUUUUUUAAAAUUUGGGAAAUAAAUGUUGCUUUGAUGUAAGGUAAAUGAAUUAUUGAAAUUUACGUCAAUAAAAGAGAAGAAUUCCUUUUAAUAGAAUUCUCCAAUCUCA